GCCCGGUUAGCUCAGUUGGUAGAGCACCUGACUUUCAAGCAGGGGGUCGUAGGUUCGAGUCCUACACUGGGUA
rnacentral:tRNA from 1 species